CCGGCUCAUUCAUUGCAUUCUGUCAUGAAACCAUGUUGGUGGUGAUGAGAAUGUUUUGGGUCCCCAUACAUUGUGGAUUAAUCCAUUUGUGGAUUCAUGAGACUGCAGUUGUAGGAACUGACUUGAGAAGUGUGAACUGAGAAGGUCAGCUUAUGUGAGUGGUAGGAUACAGCAGAAUUGAUGGUAAUUGUUUCUGAAGAAGUGAUAAUGGAUAUCACAGCACCUGCCUCAUUACUCUCUCACUUUUGGAUCACUCCCUUUGGAGGAAGUCAGCUGCCAUCUCAUGAGCAAGCCUGUGGAGGAGCCCACCUAGCGAGGACCUAGAGCCUUGUGCCAUUGGAUGUGCAAGUAAACCUAGAAGCAGAGCCUCGAGCCCCAGCAAAAGAAGGAAGAAAGAAAGAAAGAAAAGGGAAGAGAAGAAAAGAGAAAAGAAAAGAAAACUGGACCAUGCUUCCUCACGGGAUGCAGAGUAAAAUUUAAUAAGGAACGGACCCGCUCCAGUAUACCUGACCAGCCAGAAGCUGGAAGCUCUCUGUGGGACAUGUGGCCUCCAUGUGAACUCAUGAUGGAUGGGCCCACCAGUCAAUUAUCCUUCCAUACUGGGAACUCUGGCCAUCACCGAGACUUUGCCAUAAUCCAGUUCUGUGAAGUAUUGAUAUCUUGCUAAGUGGACCUACUAAAUAAUGAAGAAAAAAUGAAGCCUAUAAAGAAUAUUGACUUUGUGACCAAUUCAAGACCUGUCACCACCAUCCAUUGAGUGUCGGUCCUUAACCUCUGUUUGCUUGAUUCCUCAUUUCUACAAGGGGGAAUAUAAAGUUGGUAAGAGAAUGGAGUGAGUUAGUAAUUGGAACAGUGCCCAAGACAUGAUAAGUGUUCAAUAAGUAUUACAUACUAUUACAUAAUAAAUAUUGCAAUUAAAGAUCAAUUUUACUAUCUUUAAAGUUUUCUGAUGGUAGCAGCUAAGAUGUAAGGGUUUAAUGUAGAUCCUUGCAGAUUUCUCUGACUGGGAUCCUGAUGUAUUUGUUUAUUCCUUAUAUUUUUCUUUUUAUAUUUAUUUUCUAUGUUUUAAAAUAAACAUUGUUUUAAAAAUUUGCCCCAACCCUUUUGUUUAAAGUUUUUUUUUUUAACCAGACGUUUCUUUAAGUAAAACAUGGCUAGCUAUAGAGAUAACAUCGAAAUAAAGAGAAAUAAUUUCAUAGAACAGUGGUUCUUAAGUCUUUUUGGGUUACUGAUCCCUUUGAGAAUUGGAUGAAUGCUCUCCCCUAAAAAAUGCACAUAUAAACACACACACACACAGACACACACACAAUUUUGAUUAUAAUUAGAGGGAGUUUGUGGAUCCCGAAAACCAACCAAUAAAUCCACCAGGCAGCCAUGAAAAUAAGCCUUGAAUUGACUGCAAAGUGUACAUUCUUCCUUUUUAAAAGAUUUUAUUUUUUUAAGUAGUUUCUACACCCAGCAAGGGGCUCGAACUCAUGACCUUGAGAUCAAGAGUCACCACUUCAUUGCCUGAACCAGCCAGGUGCACCUGCAAAGUCCACAUUCUUAUCAGCUUAAUUUUCUUCUUCAUUGUUUCAUAGGUCCAUUUAACAAGAUCUUCAAAACAUCCUGAAUCUUAAAUUAUUCAUAUCCUUCUAGUUUAAGCAAAAAGAAUUUCCUUUAGAGAAAUUUCAGUUCU